UAGCUGCAGUAAAUUAACUGUACUAAGGUAGCAUAAUAAAUUGUUUUUUAAUUAAAAACUAGAAUGAAAGAUAAAAUGAAAAACUAACUUAUUUUUAGUUUAAAAAGUAAAAUUUAAUAAUUAAGUAAAAAAUCUUAAAUUUAAUCUUAAAAGACAAAAAGACCCUUUAGAAUUUAAUAAAACAAUUUUGCUAAUAAACUAAAUUUUAUUAAGUUGGGGAGACUGUAAAACAAAAAUCUUUUAUUUAACUAAAACACUAAAUUAGUGUAAAUUAAAAAAUCCUUUAUGAAAAAAUAACAAAUUACCUAAGGGAUAACAGCGUAAAAUUUCUUAAAAGAUCAAAUUUAUAAAAUUUAUUACGACCUCGAUGUUGGAUUAA
rnacentral:rRNA from 1 species